GGGGCUGUGGUCUAGCAAGGUAUGACGGCGGGCUCCAGACCCGCAUGUCGGGGGUUCAAGUCCCUCCAGCCCCACCA
rnacentral:tRNA from 1 species